rnacentral:rRNA from 1 species
UACGUAGGGCGCAAGCGUUAUCCGGAAUUAUUGGGCGUAAAGAGCUCGUAGGCGGCUUGUCACGUCGGAUGUGAAAGCCCGGGGCUUAACCCCGGGUCUGCAUUCGAUACGGGCUAGCUAGAGUGUGGUAGGGGGAGAUCGGAAUUCCUGGUGUAGCGGUGAAAUGCGCAGAUAUCAGGAGGAACACCGGUGGCGAAGGCGGAUCUCUGGGCCAUUACUGACGCUGAGGAGCGAAAGCGUGGGGAGCGAACAGG